GGGAGAGGGAUUUAAACGAGGGUUUCGGUUUCAGUCGCUCCUCCAUCUCUCUCUGGUGACCCCUUAGCUUCUUCCAUCAGGGUUGUGGCUUUAGCUUUUCUUUGUAUUAAAUCCCAUCAUGAGCAACGAGAAGGAUAAUCUCAGCAUGGCCGAUCUCAAAGCGGUUCUUAACGAAGAGGAUCGAGCAGGCCUUGUUAACGCCCUCAAGAAUAAACUACAAACUUUAGCGGGUCAGCACACCGAAAUGCUCGAGAAUCUGUCUCCAAAUGUUAGACAGCGCGUUGAGCAUCUAAGGGAGAUCCAGAGCCAACAUGAUGA
rnacentral:misc_RNA from 1 species